GGUGAACUGGAAGCAGUGAGAGAUCGGCGCUGCCCCUCAGCGCAAGUUCCCGAAAGAAUCACGUGACCUAAAAGUGAUGACUGCAGGAAUAUAACCAAGAAAAGGGGAAAUAAAUCAGCUACAGAGAAGGCACUGGGCAAAAUUUGUAAAGAGUUAUACAGCUCAUCUGAACUUUUACUAAAGUACACAGAACUGUAGUUUCUUCAUUGAGUCCAGCUGAGAACCUGAAAGGAUAGAAGAAAAAAAAUUUUUUUCAUCCCCUUGACCCUACUAGUGGAUACUGAGAUUGUUUCUAAAGUUUUGCUGUGACAUAAUCAUUGAAUUUUUCAGAGAUUGAGAAUAUGUUUAGGCAAGGGAAAUACAUGCUAAUCAGUAAUGGGUUGAAGAAUUAUAUCAAUGCAGUUAUUCAAAGAAAACUGAGUCAUGAAAAAAUCAGAAGAGGAUUUUAAACAUUCUUUUUAUUUCCUGAGGGUCAUUUUCUUUAUUCUUUCCCUAGUUCCUUUUGCCUCUAAUCACUUAUAUAAUAUACUAUACAUAUUAUAUAACGAUUAUAAAAUUUCCCCUUCCACCUGAAACGUCAAUUCCACUAAUCUGUGAAUAACAAAAUGGUGAAAGAUCCUUUAUUUCAUCUUCAUUGUACGACAAAUCAAAACAAAGAAGCAUAUCAAAAAAAAGUAAAUUAAAUCCAUGUCAGAAAACUUUUUUUUAAUAAAGACUCAUGUGAAAAGCAGGAUGUGAAUGGGGGAAAAAAAAAGAAAAAAUCUGUUACUGUUUUGUCUGUUCUGUAUUCUAUUCUUAUUGCCUUUUUACUACCCCUUGUAAUUCAGAUAGGGCUCUGGGUCAUUCUGAUGGGACUGUCAAUCAUUUGGCUUUGCCUCCCUGGCCACAGAGAAAGCACAUGACCUUUUAAGCAUAACAAUAUGGACCACAGGUGAUGUUGUCUGAAAUCCUCAGCUGAACGGAUCAUGUACUUUUGAUGUUAUCAGAGGUCCAUCUUUAUGUGGAGAAGGUGUGCCUGAGAACAAAGCUAACAUACAUGAAAGUAGACCCAAGAAAUGGAGAUAAGAGAGACAAAUUAUUGCUUGAGCAACUGGAAUCAGUUAUGUUUGAAGGCAUAUAACCUCUACACUCUUUAGUUAUGAGAAGAAAUAAAUUCUUUUUAAUAAACUUUUCUUAAACUAUCUUGAGGGCUUCCCUGGUGGAGCAGUGGUUAAGAAUCCUCCUGCUAAUGCAGGGUUACAUGGUUCGAUCCCUGGUCUGGGAAGAUCUCACAUGCAGCAGAACAACUAAGCCCAUGCGCC